GAUGAACGCUAGCGGCAGGCCUAAUACAUGCAAGUCGAACGGUGUCUUCGGACAUAGUGGCGCACGGGUGCGUAACACGUAUGCAACCUACCUUACAUUGGGGGAUAGCCUUUCGAAAGGGAGAUUAAUACCGCAUGAGACAGUAGCUGGGCAUCCAGCAGCUGUUAAAGAUUUAUCGAUGUAAGCUGGGCAUGCGUCCAAUUAGCUAGUUGGUGAGGUAACGGCUCACCAAGGCAAUGAUUGGUAGGGGAACUGAGAGGUCAAUCCCCCACACUGGCACUGAGAUACGGGCCAGACUCCUACGGGAGGCAGCAGUAGGGAAUAUUGGGCAAUGGACGCAAGUCUGACCCAGCCGUGCCGCGUGCAGGAUGAAGGCGUUAUGCGUUGUAAACUGCUUUUAUACAGGAAGAAACGACUCUUGCGAGAGGCAUUGACGGUACUGUAUGAAUAAGCACCGGCUAACUCCGUGCCAGCCGCCGCAGUAACAC
rnacentral:rRNA from 1 species